rnacentral:lncRNA from 1 species
CUGCUAUGCUUUGGAAGCUGGCUAGUGCCAAAGGUCUGUCGCUGCCAGAUGUUGCUACCUAAGUGAUAUUGUGUUUCAUGAGUGUUUGUGUGUUUGGGGCUGUUAUGUUUGUUUAUGUUUCUCUCCUCUUGUAAUCCCCUGUAAUUCUUGUGUGGCCUCUUGGCUAUGACUUUUGUGUUUUUGCUUCUCCUAUUAAUACAAAAAAUACGCAAUUCUCUUGCGUAUUCGAGAAAAAAAACUUCGUAGCCUCGGCGGGUAGAGGCGUCGGGGUUUUCGCCCGGUGGCCCGAUGGUGAGAUUAAGAGGAGAAAGAGAGGGGACUAGAGAUGGAUAGUUCUUUCUUAAUUCCAAAGAGUGCCUAUUACAUUCAAUAUAUAGGCACAUAGCAUGCUAAUAAAGGAAACAAACCCCCUUGAUUCUAGCUUGCCUUGCAUGUCGAUCUACAAAUAAAGGAAACAAACCCCCUAAGUCUAGCUUGCCUUGCAUGUCGAUCUGCAUGCCUGAUCCUUAAACCGCGCCUAGCCACUUGGUGUCGGCAGUUGCUGCACCUAAGCGCGGGGUCGGCGCUGGUAAUGCCGGCCCUACAUGACAUCUCUCAUGGAACCACAGGCUGUCAAGGGCGUCGGUGCCCAAGACAGCAAGACCUCGCGAAAGGGCCUCUAGUGUAAUGAUUAAGGCUUCCAAGUAGCACCUUCAGGUCCCGGUUUCGAUCCCCCUUGGGGGCGAAUUUCUGGCUUGGUUAAAAAAAAUCCCUUGUUGUGCCCCAUCCGCUCCCGGGUUACAUCUUGCACACCACCCUCCGGCUGGGCCGUUGGCCCGUUGCAGAGUGGGCGGUGAUGGCCUGCUAGUGAUUGAGGGCUAGGGUUCGAGGAUUUUCUCGGUCGGGACCAUGUUUCGGUCUCUUCUCAAUAUAAUACCGGGAGGGCGGUCUUUCCCUCCCCGGGCGAGUUUUUUUUAAGCAGGACCUCGGCGACGUAAUUUGUAGCCUGAGCGGGUAGAGGCGUCAGGGUUUUUGCCCGACGGCCUGAUGGUGAGAGGAGUGAGAUUAAGAGGAGAAAGAGAGGGAGACUAGAGAUGGGUAAUUCUUUCCUGCUAAUAAAGGAACAAACCCCCUUGAUUCUAGCUUGUCUUGCAUGCCGAUCUGCAAAUAAAGGAAACAAACCCCCUAAUUCUAGCUUGUCUUGCAUGUGCAUCUGCAUGCCUGCUCCUUAAACCGCGCCUAGCCACUUGGUGUCGACGGUUGUUGCACCUGAGUGCAGGGUCGGCGCUGGUAAUGCCGGCCCCACAUGACAGGGUUCCAACCUCUACAGAUCGUACACAGUUGAACAAAGAAGUCAUUUGGACCUAUGCUUCCAUAAAGAAGUUUACAGUGACAUGACUCAACUGGUUUUCGUUCGAGAACAAAUAUGUUUGUGUCAUUUCUUAGCAGAAAGCUCUGACUGUUUUCUUACCAAGAAUCAAUGAACAUGCUCUCCAGUUCCCUGUGUUAUGCUUUAAAAUAGGAAAACCUCUAAAGUCAACUGACCCAUCACCUGUGUACCUGGCAAGAUCCUGUCCACAAUGUAAAAUUGUUUAUAAUUUAUCUGCAAACUAUUCAACAGGUAUGUGCUUCCUAGGACAGCAUCAAAAUCAUAAGCAAAGUAUAGGGCACAUAGAAAAAAUACUAUUGAAAGAAACAAAAGGAAAAAUGGGAGAUAUAAUUUGUAGGAAGUUGCAUGCAAAACAGUCAUCCAUGUGCCUGAACAAUGAACAUUGACUUAUGAUUUUUGUUGGGUUUCAACUUUGCCUACCCUUGGGACUAAAAGACUUUGUUGUUAUUGUAGAGAAACAGGGUUGAGGGCAAUUGGCCACACCUCAAUGAGAGGGGGCACCUUCUAUUAUAUAGAGCUGGCUGGCCUGCUUUACAAGGCAGGGAUAAUUCCCCUGAUUUAUCCCUGAUUUACAUCUGCUAUAUCUAGCAACUAAUCCCUGAUUUACAUCUGCUAUCUAUAGCAGCUAGGAUUCUAUCCCUGAUUUACAUCUGCUAUCUAUAGCAGCUAGGAUAUCCACAGAUGGCAUAUUCUAUUGCCUAACACCCGCCCGCAGUCGCAGCGGGAGGCUCCCGGACGCAAAGACUGGAUCGAAAUUCUCGAAAGAGUGCUGUCGGAAGCCCUUUAGUCAUGAUGUCGGCGAACUGGUGAGAGGAGGGCACAUGGAGAACCCGAAUUUCACCAAGGGCCACCUUUUCGCGGACGAAGUGAAUGUCGAUCUCGAUGUGAUUCGUUCGCUUGUGGUGGACGGGGUUGGCCGUCAUGUAGACGGCGCUGACAUUGUCGCAGAAGACAACUGUGGCAGACGGCAGCUGGAUGUGUAGCUCCUGGAGUAACUGUCGAAGCCAGCAGCACUCAGCCACAACGUGAGCCACAGCCCGAUACUCGGCCUCGGCGCUAGAGCGGGACACCGUGGUCUGGCGCUUGGAGGACCAUGAAACUAGAUUGUCGCCGAGAUAGACACAGAAGCCAGAGGUGGAUCGUCGAGAGUCUGGGCAGCCUGCCCAGUCGGCGUCAGAGUAGGCAGUCAGCUUGGUGACAGACCCGGUGCCAAUGUGAAGACCCGAGGAGAGAGUCCCCUGGACGAAGCGUAAGAUGCGCUUGACCAGCGCACGGUGAGGCUCGCGCGGGGCGUGCAUGAAGAGGCACACCUGCUGAACAGCAUAUGCCAGAUCAGGACGAGUCAACGUCAGGUACUGGAGAGCCCCCGCUAAGCUCCUGUACUCUGAUGCAUCCUUCUCUGACAGUAGAUCCCCGUCGGUCGCAGAUAGCUUGGCGUGAGUGUCAACAGGUGUCGAUGUCGGAUGACACUCAGCCAUGCCUGCGCGCUGAAGAAGCUCGACCGCGUACUGUCGCUGGGAGAGGAAGAGACCAUCGGAGGAGCGUGUGACAGCGAUGCCGAGGAAGUGGUGGAGGGCGCCAAGAUCCGUCAUGGAAAACUCGGAGCUCAACCGAGUCAUAAUGCGUUGUAGCAGGGCCGACGACGAGGCGGUGAGGAUGAUGUCGUCGACGUACAACAGUAGGUAGGCGAGACUUGUCCCCUCUCGUAGAACGAAAAGAGACGUGUCGGAGAUGGAGGCGACGAAGCCGAGGUGCCGGACGAAGGUGGCGAAGCGCUGGUACCAUGCUCGCGGAGCCUGCUUCAGGCCAUACAAGGACUUCUGCAGAUGGCAGACGUGAUCUGGAGCGCCAGGGUCGACGAAUCCUGGCGGCUGUUGGCAGUAGACGGUCUCCUCGAGGUGGCCGUGAAGAAAGGCGUUCUUCACGUCCAGUUGAUGAAUGGGCCAGGCGCGGGAUGCAGCGAUGCUGAGUACAGACCGUAUGGUAGCCGGUUUGACAACCGGGCUGAAGGUCUCGUCGUAGUCAACGCCCUCGCGCUGGGAGAAGCCACGGACAACCCAGCGAGCCUUGUGGCGAGCAAGGGACCCAUCGGCAUGGAACUUGUGCCGGAAGAUCCACUUCCCUGUUACGACGUUGGCUCCGGGGGGCCGCGGAACAAGCUCCCAGGUGUUGUUGUCGACGAGGGCCUGAUAUUCAUCCAUCAUCGCGGCACGCCAGUUGGCGUCAGCCAGCGCGCUGCGGUAGUUUGUCGGAAGCGGCGAUGGUGAGGAUGACGUCGUGGCCGCCAGCCCCUCAUAGCAGACACGAGGAAUGGCACCCGUCAUGGUGCGAGUGACGCGCGGCGACGGCGGAGGCGAUGAAGUCAUAGGGGCUGCUGGGACAGCUGCCGGCUCGGACGUAGACGUUGUACGGGAACGACGGACGUAGACUCGUGGGAAGGGAACCACGUCGGGUCCAGGCGGGGGCACGGGACCACGCCCGCCCGGUGUCGCAGAAGGCGAGUCAUGUGAGGCUGCAACGUCUGGGGGCGGUUGCUCAACAUCCGAGUGGGAUGGAGCAACCACGGGCGUCGAGGAUGGAGUCCCACCUGCAACAACAGUAGGACAGGGCACCGAAACCAUAUCGUCGUCGAGGAGGAAUUCUAGGGAAGCAGAGGACGAGACGUCUGAGGUGGCUGCAAAGGGAAAGGUGGUCUCGUCGAAUGUGACAUGGCGAGAGAUGAUGAUGCGACGGGUUGAUAGGUCGAGACAGCGGUAACCUUUGUGUGAGCUAGGAUAUCCUAGGAAGAUGCAUGCCGUGGAGCGAGGGGCGAGCUUAUGUUUAGAGGUUGCUUGCAUGUUGGGGUAACAGAGAGACCCAAAAACACGCAGAUGGCUAUAAGUUGGUGGUUGAUUAUGCAGACGAGUAUAGGGAAUUUCAUGCUGAAUAGAGGAGGAUGGGCGCCUAUUAUGGAGGUAGCAGGCUGUCAGGAGUCCCUCGGCCCAAUAUGUGGGUGGUAGGGAAGCAUGUAGAAGCAUGGUGCGAAUUGAAUUGUUGAGUGUGCGGAUGAUACGUUCAGCCUUGCCAUUUUGGGGAGAUGUGUAGGGACAGGAGAGGCGAAGGUGAGUGCCUUGAGCAGCGAGGAAUUUGAUGGUGGCAGUGUUUACGAAUUCAGUGCCGUUAUCAGUCUGAAAGCAUUUGACGGGGAGGCUGAAUUGUGUUUGGGCAGAGGCAGCAAGCUCGACUAAGUGUUGGUGGACAUCAGAUUUUUUUCGGAGCGGAAAAACCCAACAGUAGUGAGUGUAAUCAUCCAAACAGACCAAGUAAUAUGAAAAACCAGACAAACUAUUGAUGGGUGAAGUCCAUACAUCACAGUGAACGAGUUCAAAGGGUGCAUGAGUUAUGGAAUGCGAAGAACUAAAAGGUAGACGCGUAUGCUUGCCUAGUUGACAUGAGUGACAUAGGGAGUGUUGUACUUUAUUACAGGAAAUAACAUGAAGUUUAUUGAGACGCUCUAAAACGGCGGGGGCGGGGUGACCGAGACGUUGAUGCCAGAGAGUUGACGAUGUAGCCAGGAGAGCAUGAGGUGGAGCGCCAGGUGUGGAGGCAGGCAUGGUGUAUAGGUCCCCGUCGCAGUUACAACGGAGAAUCACGCGUUCCGUCCUGAGAUCCUUAAUAGAGAAACCAUGGGCGUCAAAUUCAAAGGAACAAUUGUUGUCGCGAGUGAAUUGACGAACGGAUAACAGGUUGCGGACUAUGGAUGGGGCGACAAGGAUAUUAUUAAGAGCAAAAUUUGUUGUAGGUGUAGGAAGGACGGAAUGACCUCUAGACAUAACAGGUAUACUAGUGCCAUUACCUACUGUUAUUGAGGAGAUGGAGGGGGGAAGGCGCUGAGUAAGCAUACCAUCCGAGGACGUCAUGUGCGUAGAGGCGCCGGAGUCAACAACCCAGGGCGAGUUGCCCUGAAGUUGCAUGUUUUGCAGGGCAGCGAUGAGGCCUGCUGCAUCCCAGGUGCUGGUGGAGGUGUUGGAGCUGCUGGAGGACGCCUGGAGUGGAGCGAAGGCGGUGUGGGCCUGCGGGGAAGACCCGAGAAUGCCCAGGGUGCGCCCAGCCUGGGCACUAGAACCUCCCUGGCGGCGCUGUCCAGGAGGGGUGACGCGCUCUCCAGGGGCCACACGUUCGCCAGUCCAGGGAUUAAAGCCCCAGGGAACACGUUUGUUGGUGCUGGUGUUGCCGGAGUUGUUGGAGAAGCUACCAGAGGUGUUGUAGAAGGGCUGGUGGCCGCCUUUUUUGGUAUUAGGGCGCCGGCCGCCCUGCUAGUGCUGCUGCUGCGAACCACCAACAUUAGCUAGGAGGGCAGCAGCAGCACGCGUCUUCUCGUCGUUCUGCAGCCGCAGCUCUUUGAGGAGUAGCUGAUGGCGUGCGGUGGCGAGGGUGAGGGGUUGCUGUCCGGCGAUGUUGUCGGCGACGCCGGAGUAGACCUCGUUAAGUCCACGCAGCAGGUUGAGGACGAGGUUGGGCUCAGAUACGGGCUGCCCAACGUCGCGUAGUUCGUCGGCCUUCUCCUUCAUGCGAACGCAGUAGGCGUCAAUGGACAGGUCCCCCUGAGUCAUCGAGUGAAACUCGUGAUUCAGGAAGAUGGCGCGGGGAGCUUUGUUUGCCUGGAACACCUCGCCGAUGGCCUUCCAAAGGGCGCUCGCCGUCUGGGUGCUGUCGGUCAUGGCGAGGUUGAGGACGGCGUCGGAGGUGGUGCUGUACAUCCAUCCGCGGACGCAGAAGUCAGCCUGUGCCCAUGCCGCAUCGGUGGGGCGCGAAGUGGAGAGGUGAUGCAGCAGCCCAAUUUCCCACACGUGGCCUGAAACGUCGUCGACCACUUGGUGUAGUUGGAAGGUUUCAACUCCAGGGUCAUGGGGACGUGGAGCUUGAUGUUGAUGGUGGCAAAGGGGCAGAGGACAGGAGCAGAAUCGGCAGCAUCGGAGAUGGUGCUCAUGGCGCAGGGAAGGGGAAGGAGAGGGCAGACGGCGCGGUCUGGUUAAGGCGGCGCGGCUGGAGGAGAGAAGGUGAGGGGGGGGUUGGGAAAUUAGAUCGAUGCCUGGGCCUCUGAUACCAUGUAGAGAAACAGGGUUGAGGGCAAUUGGUCACACCUCAAUGAGAGGGGGCACCUUCUAUUAUAUAGAGCUGGCUGGCCUGCUUUACAAGGCAGGGAUAAUUCCCCUGAUUUAUCCCUGAUUUACAUCUGCUAUAUCUAGCAACUAAUCCCUGAUUUACAUCUGCUAUCUAUAGCAGCUAGGAUUCUAUCCCUGAUUUACAUCUGCUAUCUAUAGCAGCUAGGAUAUCCACAGAUGGCAUAUUCUAUUGCCUAACAGUUAUUAUAUUAUAAUUUGUAAGAAGUGGCAUUCUAUUUAAUUUUUUUUCGAACGAUGCAGGAGAACUACGUGUCAUUUCAUUAAGGAAGAUAGAAAAAUCAAGUACACAUGGAGGAAAACUCCCCGAACACCAAACACAAGACACCAACUCACUUUGAAAACAACGAACAAGACACCACGACCAACUACCUAGCAGCUAAGGGGGCUCCCUCCUCAAGAGGAGUUUAUGCAGACCUGCAGCCCCAGCUAGACACCACAUGUGACCUUCGGCGGCCACCUGAGAAAGAACCGCCUGUGCUUGAGGUUGGACACUAUCAAACACGCAGGCGUUCCUGUGUUUCCACAAAAUCCAGGUGACUAAGAUGACCAAGGUAUUGAAACCUUUUCUCAGAUCUUUGUCGAGAGAUGCAGCAGCCUGACUCCACCAGGAACGGAACCUGCUAGAAGGGCAGGGUGGCCUGACUUUGUCCACCAGGAACAUGAUAUUAUAAUUUGUAAGAAGUGGCAUUCUAUUUAAUGGCACAGGCAUAAACCUUGAUCUUCU